rnacentral:tRNA from 1 species
CGAAGGUAGCCAAGUGGAUCAAGG